GCUUUCAUAGCUCAGCUGGUUAGAGCACCCGUUUAGUAAGCGGGAGGUCUUGAGUCUGACUCUCAAUGAAAGCA